GGGGCCUCGUUGCAACGGUAACAUGCCGGUCUCCAAAACCGUGCGACUUAGGUUCAAAUCCUGAAGGCCGCCGCCA
rnacentral:tRNA from 1 species